AUUCCGGGACAGGCAAGUCUACCCAUAAUUCCCUGUAUUGCCGAGGGCGCCAUUUUGGAACACAAAUGUAAACAAACACUCAAACCUCGUGUAAUCGAUGUACACCGUGAUGCUUGAUUGCGAUAUGCUUACCUGGUGUAUCGAUACAUUGUUCUCAAUCACCUCUAACACGGAAAUCCCGGUCGAAAUCCAUCUGAGCCAUCCACAACGAGGACGUCAAGUACUUCGAAAACUCGAUUGACAGCCGAAGGAAGGAAGAGCACCUUGCGGAUGCUAGCAUGUUCAGGGUUUGUGGGGAGGUUCACAGACAUCUUCAGGGAGGAUACGAAGUGUUGAAAUGUCCGGAUGAAUAAAAGAGACAGUCAUCUGUGCAGCAUCAAUGCAAGGAAAGACCAUAGAAGAGCAACAAAACUGAAGUCCUGCUUGAGAUCCCUGGAUGAGUACUCCAGGUUGACAGCCUGGAAGGACCAGACAAGGGAGUCCUUAACAGGGCGUGCACCCCUUCAGAUAUCAGAGGUGAUUUGCAGACAGCGAUGAUGAGGGUCCUGUUAUUUCAAUGGAGGCUGACCGAGAAGUUAUAUGCCAAAUGGUACUGGGACACACAAGACUGGUCUGGCUAAUGUGAGAAGACCAACCAAUGCCAAGCUGGAGUGGAAUCCUUCCAGGACAUUCAAGAAAUUCUUGUCCUGAGCCAUGUGGUAAACACUUGAACGGAAUGAUAAAUGGGACUUAUUGUCUUUCAAUGUGGACCCAAACACCAAAUGGAAAGUUCACAAUUCUACUAGCGCAAUGCAGCAGGGAUUGAGUCCAACUGGUAUCCCCUCAUCCUGGUUCCUGUUCAUCCAUGGCAAUAUAGAAAGAAAAGUAGGAUUGAGGGAAAGUAAGUUCUCUGAACUGGUGAACAUAAUCCGUAGGUACUGUCAAGCGAACAGUUAUCACACUCUGUUAUGAGUAUUGAAGAAUAGGAUGAAAUUGCAUACUGCAUCAGGAACAAUCGUGUGAACACUGUUCAGUGUGCGAUAUACUAUAGGCAUGAUAGGCAUAUGAAUAAAAAAAAUAUGAUAAUUUGA
rnacentral:lncRNA from 1 species